rnacentral:rRNA from 1 species
UACAGAGGUCCCAAGCGUUGUUCGGAUUCACUGGGCGUAAAGGGUGCGUAGGUGGUGAGGUAAGUCGGAUGUGAAAUCUCCAGGCUCAACCUGGAAAUGGCAUUGGAAACUACCUUGCUAGAGGGUUUGAGGGGGGACUGGAAUACUUGGUGUAGCAGUGAAAUGCGUAGAUAUCAAGUGGAACACCAGUGGCGAAGGCGGCCUCCUGGAUCGAUACUGACGCUGAGGCGCGAAAGCGUGGGGAGCAAACAGG